rnacentral:lncRNA from 1 species
AGGACACAGAAGAGUCUGUGGUCAUACUGGUCCUGUGUGCUGUGGGGAUCGUAGUAUUGGCGACGGUGUGUGGAAUGGCAUUGGUCUUAUACUACAAACAAAAGAGGAAGAAGCAGUUAGCAGUUACAGGAGAUGGCCCCUCCAGUCUUCACAACAGCGUGCAAACAGAGGAGCCCAACGAUUAUGAGAUGUCUUUUGAGCCGGGGAGUGUCCCGGACGCCAGGGCGUCAGUCAGCUCCAUCUACUGCAAUGCCUCCAACGCUCAGCGACCCUCAGUGCACUCACUCUACUCCACUGUAAGGCCGGUCGCUGAAAGCCCAGAGCAGAACAUCUACUGCAAUUCUCAAGAGGACAUUGUUUUCCCCGACUACUCCAAUGACACUCUGCCUGAAGGAACUACAUCCCCCACAAUGCACUAUUCCAAUAGAGUCGAGGCUGGCACCACUGUCAACACUCUAUCGACACCAGUGGAAGAUGGUGAGAAUGAUAAUUUCUAUUCAAUGUGCAGUUCCCCAAAGUCAAAGUAGCAAGAAUUUUGUUUGUAUUUGUAUUAACUUAUUGUUGCAAAUUAUACAUGAAGAACGCAGGUCUGAGUACUGAGUUUGUGGCAUCUGAAAACAUUGUAAAUAAAGCCUCCAUUGAGAUACCCUUCUCUGUGACU